UGGGGAAUAUUGCACAAUGGGCGCAAGCCUGAUGCAGCCAUGCCGCGUGUAUGAAGAAGGCCUUCGGGUUGUAAAGUACUUUCAGUCGGGAGGAAGGUGUCAAGGUUAAUAACCUUGGCAAUUGACGUUACCGACAGAAGAAGCACCGGCUAACUCCGUGCCAGCAGCCGCGGUAAUACGGAGGGUGCAAGCGUUAAUCGGAAUUACUGGGCGUAAAGCGCACGCAGGCGGUUGAUUGAGUCAGAUGUGAAAUCCCCGGGCUUAACCCGGGAAUUGCAUCUGAUACGGGUCAGCUGGAGUCUUGUAGAGGGGGGUAGAAUUCCAUGUGUAGCGGUGAAAUGCGGAGAGAUGUGGAGGAAUACCGGUGGCGAAGGCGGCCCCCUGGACAAAGACUGACGCUCAGGUGCGAAAGCGUGGGGAGCAAACAGG
rnacentral:rRNA from 1 species